AUUGAACGCUGGCGGCAUGCCUUACACAUGCAAGUCGAACGGCAGCACGGGUGCUUGCACCUGGUGGCGAGUGGCGAACGGGUGAGUAAUACAUCGGAACAUGUCCUGUAGUGGGGGAUAGCCCGGCGAAAGCCGGAUUAAUACCGCAUACGAUCUACGGAUGAAAGCGGGGUACCUUCGGGCCUCGCGCUAUAGGGUUGGCCGAUGGCUGAUUAGCUAGUUGGUGGGGUAAAGGCCUACCAAGGCGACGAUCAGUAGCUGGUCUGAGAGGACGACCAGCCACACUGGGACUGAGACACGGCCCAGACUCCUACGGGAGGCAGCAGUGGGGAAUUUUGGACAAUGGGCGAAAGCCUGAUCCAGCAAUGCCGCGUGUGUGAAGAAGGCCUUCGGGUUGUAAAGCACUUUUGUCCGGAAAGAAAUCCUUGGCUCUAAUACAGUCGGGGGAUGACGGUACCGGAAGAAUAAGCACCGGCUAACUACGUG
rnacentral:rRNA from 1 species